rnacentral:sRNA from 1 species
AUGAUUGAGGAAAGUGGGAACAAGCGGAAGACCAUGGCAGAGAAGAGGCAGCUGUUCAUAGAAAUGCGUGCUCAGAAUUUUGAUGUCAUACGACUAUCAACUUACAGAACAGCCUGCAAAUUACGAUUUGUACAAAAACGAUGCAACCUUCAUCUUGUUGAUAUCUGGAACAUGAUUGAAGCCUUCCGAGACAAUGGCCUUAAUACACUGGACCAUACCACCGAGAUCAGUGUGUCCCGCCUCGAAACUGUCAUCUCCUCCAUCUACUAUCAGUUGAACAAGCGCCUUCCUUCUACUCACCAAAUUAGUGUGGAACAAUCUAUCAGCCUCCUCCUCAACUUUAUGAUUGCUGCAUAUGACAGUGAGGGCCGAGGCAAGUUGACGGUAUUUUCAGUUAAAGCUAUGUUAGCAACCAUGUGUGGUGGAAAAAUGCUGGACAAAUUGAGAUAUGUUUUCUCCCAGAUGUCAGAUUCCAAUGGCUUAAUGAUAUUUAGCAAGUUUGACCAGUUUCUGAAGGAAGUUCUGAAGCUCCCAACAGCUGUCUUUGAAGGGCCAUCUUUUGGUUACACAGAGCACUCAGUCCGCACCUGUUUUCCACAGCAGAGAAAGAUAAUGCUAAAUAUGUUUUUAGACACGAUGAUGGCUGACCCUCCUCCCCAGUGCCUUGUCUGGCUACCUCUCAUGCACAGGCUUGCCCAUGUUGAGAAUGUCUUCCAUCCCGUGGAGUGCUCCUACUGCCGAUGUGAGAGUAUGAUGGGUUUCCGGUACCGAUGCCAGCAGUGCCACAACUAUCAGCUCUGCCAGAAUUGCUUUUGGCGUGGCCAUGCCGGCGGCCCUCACAGCAACCAGCACCAGAUGAAGGAGCAUUCCUCUUGGAAAUCUCCUGCAAAGAAGCUGAGCCAUGCAAUUAGUAAAUCUUUGGGGUGUGUACCCACGAGAGAACCCCCGCAUCCUGUUUUUCCUGAGCAACCAGAGAAACCACUUGACCUUGCACAUAUAGUUCCUCCUCGCCCUCUGACUAAUAUGAAUGACACCGUGGUUAGCCACAUGUCCUCUGGAGUGCCCACUCCCACCAAGAGGUUACAGUAUAGCCAGGAUAUACCCAGUCACUUGGCCGAUGAGCAUGCGCUGAUAGCCUCCUAUGUGGCCCGUCUGCAGCACUGUGCACGUGUUCUGGACAGUCCUAGCCGACUGGAUGAGGAACACCGUCUUAUAGCUCGCUAUGCUGCCCGGCUGGCUGCAGAAGCAGGAAACGUGACUCGUCCUCCCACUGACUUGAGCUUUAACUUUGAUGCCAACAAACAACAAAGACAGCUUAUUGCAGAACUGGAAAACAAAAACAGAGAGAUCCUGCAGGAGAUUCAGCGUCUCCGCCUGGAACACGAGCAGGCCUCCCAGCCCACCCCUGAGAAGGCACAGCAGAACCCCACGCUGCUGGCAGAGCUGCGGCUGCUGAGGCAAAGGAAGGAUGAACUGGAGCAGAGGAUGUCGGCCCUGCAGGAGAGCAGGCGGGAGCUGAUGGUCCAGCUGGAAGAGCUGAUGAAGUUGCUGAAGGAGGAAGAGCAAAAGCAGGCAGUAAGUGAACUUCGGAAUUUCCCGCCGGACUCUCGCUCCUUUGCACGUUCUUCCUUUCCUCAUAUAAAUGUUUCUCCUCUUCUCCCCGCACAUCAUCUCUGAAGAGGGUUUUAUGUGUAAAACCCCCAGCGGUUCUCCCCAUGGUGUUGUAAAAUGGCCUAAAAGUUCAAGGCAUGUUUACCCAGUAGAGCAUGUUCUUACUUAAAACCAGAGCUUGUAAGUACCCAUCUGUUGUGCGCAUUGAAGUGUGCAUGAUUAGCCAGGCUACCAUUGCAUUUUCCUGCUCUUUCAUUCUCUGUUGUUGUGUGUCUGGAGUGAUUUUAAUUGCUUGAAACAACUUUCAGGGUGCUGGGGUGACCUCAUGUCAUGAAUGAAUGUGCAUGAAAAUGAGGACUUCUUUUGCUAACUAUAGA